GGAACCUACUACGUAACCCUCUAGUAUUCUGAAAGAUUAGACGCAAUGAACGCAUACCCGGACAACGAUGGAUCACUACGGACUAGAGGCAGACAGUAAGAGGCAAAUGGGACAGUAUCUUACGAUGCGUGGGGUUCAUUUUGAGAUCGCCUAGAGUCUGUAUACUAGUUGAUGUAUCAUAUGCCUAGCCAUCUUUAUGGGGCUUCGGGGGACACAGAAGGAAAUGUUUACAGACAAUGGUAAAAACUUCAGAGCCAUAGAAAAAGCCAUACGUGAAGAGCUGAAAAAUAUCGACCAUGAUAAGACCAACACAUAAGAUUAAAGUCGUCAUAAAGCAGCGAUUCAACCUACCAGAAGAACCACACACGCGAGGAGCAUGGAAGAGACUCGUCCUGACUUCGAAAGAGAAUUUGAAUAACAUAUGCCAAAUUACUCUUUCAAUGAAAACUUUUCAUUAUAGUCUGAAUACCGAGGAUGACGCCGUCCUGACUCCAAACCACCUGAUGCUGAAACCAGCGAAUUGAUGUAAGUCGCAGCUAAAUGAGGGGAUAGGUCUAAAGCAUAGAUGGAAUGAGGAAUGCCAAAAGAGGUCUUGGCAACGAUGGAUUAAAGAGUAUGCGCCCGUAUUGACCAUCAGACCAAAUGGUUUGAGAAGGUACCUCCAAUCACUAUCGCAAGCCGAAAUACCAAAAAACGAAGGUAGCCGAUUUGGACGUCGGCUUGGAGAAUGGUAACUGACUACGUAACGGGAUUAAAUACAAUUACUACGUAAAAAUAAAAUGUAUUGAAAAAUA